UACGAAGGGGGCUAGCGUUGCUCGGAAUUACUGGGCGUAAAGGGCGCGUAGGCGGACAUUUAAGUCAGGGGUGAAAUCCUGGAGCUCAACUCCAGAACUGCCUUUGAUACUGAAGAUCUUGAGUUCGGGAGAGGUGAGAGGAACUGCGAGUGUAGAGGUGAAAUUCGUAGAUAUUCGCAAGAACACCAGUGGCGAAGGCGGCUCACUGGCCCGAUACUGACGCUGAGGCACGAAAGCGUGGGGAGCAAACAGG
rnacentral:rRNA from 1 species